rnacentral:rRNA from 1 species
AAGGGCACCACAAGAACGCGUGGAGCAUGUGGCUUAAUUUGACUCAACGCGGGAAAUCUUACCAGGUCCGAACACGCUGAGGAUUGACAGGUUUUUAUAAGACAAUAUUUUUAUUUUCGAAUAAAUUUAUUGCACAUCUUAUAUCAAAUAUGCUAGUCCUUUCAUGAUUGCGUGAUAGGUGGUGCAUGGCCGUUCUUAGUUCGUGGAGUGAUCUGUCUGCUUAAUUGCGUUUCACAUAAACGAGUAUAUAUUGAAUACUUUGUUUGCACAUAAAGUUGUUGCACUGAUUUUUAUCUUUGCACCUUUAUUGUUGCACAGUAUUCAUUAACUUAUACUCAGAAGGCAACGAACGUGACCGCAACAACUUGUUGCAUAAUCUUAUUUAUGCUAACUAGUUGGACCGCUGGAUCUUUUCUAAACAGAGGAAGGUUGCGGCAAUAACAGGUCUGUGAUGCCCUCAGAUGUUCUGGGCUGCACACGUGCUACAAUGAUUAUUGCAGUAAGCAUCUAUUUAGGUCUAUUUUAGACCGCGGGAAUUAACGUUUGUAUUUAUUUUCGAAUAUUUACUAUACGUCCCGUUCAACCAACUUCGAAAGUAAGUUGGUAAUCAAUUCGAAGUAAUGAUUUCCUUUUGCACAUUAUUAAUAUUCUAUACUGUUAAUUUUAUAUUUUUUCGGAUUUAUUUGUAUUAACGAUAGAAUAUGUGCUCCAUUAUUUCAUGGUGGGGACUGACCAUUGUUAAUUGUUGGUCACGUCUCAACUAGGAAUGCCUUGUAUAACUUGGUUCAACAAACCAGUUAGAAUAUGUCCCUGCCCUUUGUACACACCGCCCGUCGCUCUUACCGAUGGACUAUACUGUGAGUAUACAGGACGGGAACUCUAUUCAUUUUUAAUGAUUGAGAUCUAUAAGAAUGUACGCGAACAGUGUGGUCUAAAGGAAAGAGAAGUCGAACAAGGCA